rnacentral:rRNA from 1 species
AUGCAGCUAAAUACUUACAAAGAUUGCAUCAUUUGGGGAAAUAUCGCUCUAUGGCCUUUCAUUGGCUCCUUUUGCUGGAAAAGGAUGCAUCGUGCAAAUGAAAAAAAUACCAAGAAAAAAUUGAUAAGCUGUGAAUGUAUAUGUGAUAAUAACGGUAGCCAUAAAAUAAAGAAAAGCGUUGAUCCUUCAUCGAAAUUGUGGCACUGCUGUUUAGGUUACAUUCAGAGAGGGAGGAUGGAAAUCUCGUUAAGUAAUUCUUCAUUCAUUAGACUUUAUGACUUCCAAGCCAAUGUAUAUUGA